AAACACAAUCAAAAUAUUGAUCAAACUAAUAGAUCAAACAUUAUGUUAAGGAAUAUUAUGGUAAUUCAAGAACAGAACAAGAAAAAGUCCAAUGUGUAUUAAGGUAAUACAAAAAUAUCUGGUGUCUUAAGGUCCUUUGAUUUUUUGCAAAAAUAGCCAAGUGUGGGUGGGUUUACAGAAUUUUACUAGAUGAGCUAUUUUAGCCUUAGUUUUGCAAUUUGGAUUUAAUUUGUGAAAAUUUUAAUGAGACAUUCAGUUGAGGACAAUAUCACAAUUACAGCCCGUGUUGUAAAAUAGUAAUUAAUACUGAAUAGCAGCAGACAAAUGUUCAUAGGGGUGAUGUUCAAGAUCAUUAAGGUGUGAAAUAUGAAUGAAAUUCAC